GUAGUCAUGGCCGAGUGGUUAAGGCGACAGACUUGAAAUCUGUUGGGAUACCCCCUUAAAGGUUCAAAUCCGGCCGACUACG
rnacentral:tRNA from 1 species